CUAUGUGAAAGCACCAAGCCCUCUCUUUGAGUUCAAUCCUGGUCAAUGAGGUGGGCUUCCCUGAAGUUAUCGGGGAGGCCUGGAGACAAAAAAGGAGGAGCUUAGCUGGAAAGAGCCUGGAGGAAGGGGUGGCUCAAAGCCUGGGAUCCUGGCCCUGGUUUUGCCAUUCACUCACUGUGCUUCCCCAGGAAGGUGUCUUUCCCUCUCUGGGCCCAGUCCCACCUCUCUAAAUCAUCAGUGAGUUCCUUGAGAUGGAUUCAAUACCAUCCCCUAGCAGGAUGCAAGCUGAAUUUUUAAUUAUUAGACUAAAUAUUAAUUCCACCCCGGUCUCCUAAAUCUCAUCGAGCUUGCCCAAGUGAGAGACAACAGAGCCCCAGGACCCACACCAAGCUCCAGGUUCACAGGCCAGCAGGCGAACUCACCCACCACCUUGGGUCUCCUUGGAUAACCAGAGACAACUUUGCAAUUUCGCUUGACUGACAAGAUAACAAAAGCCACAACUCAACGUGCAGAUGACAUGGACACUUGGCCAUCCUGGGAGGGUCCGAGGAGAUGAAGCAGGUGCCAACUAAUCCUCUCUAAAAAUAGGGGAGCACAAGCAUUUGUGUCUGGGGCCAGAGUGUCAGCAUUUCCAGAUAAAUCAACUGGCCUGGCAAGCCGGGCUUACGUGCCGGCCCCAUCCUCACAGACGUGGAAUAUACUUCCUGACCGCUUCGGGAGAUACAGUAACUCCACCAUCAGGGGAAUCACCACCACCGAUGCCUCUUUCCCAGGCACAGGGAUCAGGAAACGGCCAGCUUGAUUGACAAUGAUUCUGGAAGAGGCAACUUCCCUGGUUGGAUCUAUGGGGGAGCCCCCCCCCGCCCCCGCUACGGGGCAGCAUUAAAGGGGAGGAGUUUUUACUGUUGCUUUUAAUAUUAAAAAAAAAAAAAAACGCAAUAAGCUUACAAGGUCUGGUGGCUCCGAGUCCGUCUGCCUUUUCCUUAGGGAAGAAAAUCUCUGUUGGCUGCGGGCAGAGAAGCGGCGGAAAGAUUCCCGACUCCGGGAGGCGAGGUGUCGGAAGGAGGAGGUGCGCUUGAAGGGGGUCCGGCUGGCGGGCUCCCCACUUGUCCGCUCGUGGCCCACUGUGGUGGUCACUAAGUUGAGGGCCUCCUGGAAGGAUCUCCUCACAGUGCCCAUCCACUGGGUCAUGUGGGUUUGGGCCACUGUGAGUUUGUCUCCCAGGUAAUCCAUGGGGCCGGAGGAGGGGAGGAAGGACGUGAGCGAGGGACAAAGCAAUUGCAGCGCCAGGGUCUUCUCCCUCUUUCUACUUUCUGCUUCUGCAAGUUCUGGGCUUGCUUGGAGAGAAAGCAGCCCUCUUCAGCCAAAGCAGGAGUAAAGAACCAUCGCGGAGCUGGCGGCCGGCCGCACCUGCGGGUCUCGCUGAGGAUCCGGAGGCAGGUCAGGGUCGGGCUGGAAGUCCACCCACCCGAGUUGUAAAGUCAACACGCUGGGCGGUCCCAGCUCCAGCCCUGGCGGCGCUCGCAGGCUGCAUCGGCUGUGACCGGGAGCCUUGGGGAAAUCUAGCAGCACUCACUCCAGGGUGUGACAGUUCCAGCGAGGUGGGGGAGGAAGAGGCGGUGGCCCUGGGCACCCCGGUGCGGUGCUCACCGUCCCUCAGAAGGUGCCAGCGGCAGCCAGCCACCGUGUUGUGAGGAUGCACAAGCAGUCAUAUGGAGAGAACCACGUGGAGGGGAUGCAAAACCCCCACCUACAGCCCGCACCAACUUGCCAGCAAUGCGAGCAAACCACUUUGGAAGUAGAUUCCACAUUCCCUGUAAACCGUCAGAGGGCUGCAGCCUUUGACUACGCUUUAGUGAAGGUCCCUGAGCCGGAGCCACCCCACUCCACUGCUCCCAAAUUCCUGUCUCACAGAAAUCACAGUAGAUACAAAUGCCCAGAGGCAGGGCAGUGUCUGGCUCAUCAGGAAACCAAGGUUUGGUGCAGAAUGAGAGGGGAAAGGAGAGGCUGAUGAGGGGUUUUUGCAGCAGCCUGCAGGUCCUAUACAUUAGGAAGCAUUAUCCCAUCAUGGAGACGAGGAAACAUGCAUUGGGCACCAGAUUCUACCUCCAUGCGUGUCUGUGGCCCCGCCCACCACCCACUGGACUCUCCAGGGUCCCAAGACUUCUGGUCCCCAAAGUUCAUCCAUUUCCUCACGUGGAUUGACCAUGGCCAGCCUCCUGCAGCAGGCAGGCCACUUCAUGGCUCUGCUCCCUCACCCAGCAGAUGAAGAACUCCAAGGGUGGGGGCAGACAUGAGAAACAGUUGAGCCCUCCCUACCUCACUCCAGGAAAGCCACACCAGAAAUACAUAAAGAGUUGGGAAGGGACACAGCUUUUUAACAGACCAUCUGGACACAGAGGUGGGGGAUCUGGGAAACUUCAGGAGGCAAUAAUGCUAAAUCAAAGCAGUACACAAAUCACCUAAAAAUGAGAAUACCCAGUGCUGCCGAGGUUGUGAUGAACAGGACACUUUUACCCACAGUGGACGGAAAUGGAAAUUGGUAUAUAAUUCUGAAGGGAACUUAAUGCCCAAGAUCAAAGUCUUAAAAACAAUGACCUGCCAGGUAGUGACCUACAUGCAGAAACAUGCUGAUGUCUAUAACUUACUUUGAUAUGGAGCAAAAAAUAAAAAACAAAGAUGUACUAAGGAAUGGAUGGAUGGAUAGAUUUUUAUAAAGUAAAUUUAGCAAAAUGUCAGCAAUUAUAGAAUGUAGCUGGUGAUUAUGUGUGAAUCCCUUGUAAAAUUUUUCUGAAUGUUUGAAAAUUAUGAUAAAAAGAUUCGGGUAGGAGGAUGUGCCUGCCUUCUGA